UACGUAGGGGGCAAGCGUUAUCCGGAUUCACUGGGUGUAAAGGGAGCGUAGACGGCCAUGCAAGCCUGGAGUGAAAGCCCGGGGCCCAACCCCGGGACUGCUCUGGGAACUGUGCGGCUGGAGUGCGGGAGGGGCAGGCGGAAUUCCUGGUGUAGCGGUGAAAUGCGUAGAUAUCAGGAGGAACACCGGCGGCGAAGGCGGCCUGCUGGACCGUAACUGACGUUGAGGCUCGAAAGCGUGGGGAGCAAACAGG
rnacentral:rRNA from 1 species